UAAAACUACUUUACCUUCUUUUGCAUUUGCAGAUUGACAUGAUAUAAUAAAUAGGCAAAAGAUGUAACAGUAACCCGAUAUGAAAUCCCAAUUUACUCUUUCCAUCAUUUGGUGGUCAUGUAUUGAAUUCGCUCCAUCCUUCUUUGUCAAUCUCAAAAACAGACUGAAGAUGUUUUCUCCUUCCAGCACUUGUUGGUAUAUGAGAAGAACAUAUGUGUUUGACUAAAUGUGAAUAAGACUGAAGCAAGGAAAGGAAGGGGAUGAUUAUGUUGAUGAUGAUUAUGGCUGGCUGGGUCCAUGAUUAAGAUAAUGUAAAAUGGGUUUUGAUUGGGUUGCUUGUUAAACAAAUAUGUUGAAUUGGCAAGAUUAGUUUGAUUGGUUAGUGGUUGGUCUUCUUAUGGUAUAUUAAACAAAUGAAAAUUAGGCUUAAUUAUAAUAAUAUUUUGGGCGGAGCUAUCCUUCUUAUUUAGUUAUUUCUAUAAUCUUCCCCUUUUUCUCCUUGUCGGUUGUUUUGAAGUCUACUUCAUGUUUGUCUUUUUUUAACAGGGAGAAAUGGUGUGAUUUGAGUACCUGAACUUCUGGGGUCGGUUGGUAGCUCAAGUGAAAAAAUAUUGUCUACGAGAACAAAUGUCUGAGGUAAAUUUUCAUUAAAAACGUCUUAAAUUGAAGUAAAUGUCAUAAAUGUCGGGUUAUACUAUAUUUCUCAUUUUAUUCUUUGAUUUAAAAAAGAAAAAUCAAUGUCACUUUCAGACAGUCUAAAUUGAAGACUAAAAUAUUUGAAGUCUAGGUCACGAAGAUGCUUUUAAAUAUAAAUUAUCCUUAACCAUGCCUAGUCUAUUAAUUAACUAUUUGAACUAAUUGAACAUUUUUGUUGACUUGAUUUAAAGUUAUUUGUUACAAAUUUGGUGGAUUUAUUUCAUAAUUUUCUUAUUAAAAAAAUUCAAUUCUAAGAUGUUCAUAGUUCUCAAGAAAUUACAAAAUAAAACCAGGGUUGAUAUUCUGAAUGUGUAGAGGUUUUUUUUAAGGAUAUUAGUCUAUAUCAUAUUUGACCUUCAAUCCAACCUUCAACAAAAUGUAUUUGGACUCAUUAUUAGAACGUACAUGAUUGGCUGUAUAUAUUUCUUUGCUUCAUUUAUAAAUUUAUAUACACGCCUUA